rnacentral:misc_RNA from 1 species
CAAAAAUCUCCAUUUCAUCGGAAAACGAAGAUCGGAGCUUUCGAUUAAAUCAAUUCGUUUUGCCGUUCGAUCCUUCCCGAUCUCAAAAUGAACGACGGAGAUGUGUCCAAGCAGAUCCAUCAGAUGGUCAGAUUCAUCCGCCAAGAAGCGGAGGAGAAGGCCAAUGAGAUUUCUGUUUCCGCUGAAGAAGAAUUCAACAUUGAGAAG